rnacentral:rRNA from 1 species
AUUGAACGCUGGCGGCAGGCCUAACACAUGCAAGUCGAGCGCGCGUCGGACGGGUGAGUAAUGUAUGGGGAUCUGCCCGCUAGAGGGGGAUAACUACUGGAAACGGUAGCUAAUACCGCAUACUAUCGGAUUAUCCCCUAUUGGAUUAGCUAGUAGGUGAGGUAAUGGAUCAACGAGGCGACGAUCCUGAGCGGGUCUGAGAGGAUGACCAGCGACAGUGGAACGGAGACACGGUCCAGACGCAUACGGGAGGCAGAAGGAGGGAAUAGUGAAAAAUGGGCGCAAGCCUGAUGCAGACAUGCCGCGGGUAUGAAGAAGGCCUUCGGGUUGUAAAGUACUUUCAGCGGGGAGGCGUUACCCGCAGAAGAAGCACCGGCUAACUCCGUGCCAGCAGCCGCGGUAAUAC